rnacentral:piRNA from 1 species
UCUAGCUGCACAUGUAUCAAAAGAUGGCC